UGCCUAGGAAGUCCACAGGAAUGUGGGAAUAGCUCUUUAUUUUUGGGUAGGCCUAUAUUGCUUCCAGAAUGAUAGGCACACAUCCACACAAGUUCACUAACAGAAGGGAUUAUGAUUAUUUUGUCAUCAACAGAACCAUAUACAAGAAUGUGAUAUAAUAGCUUUCCUAAAAUCUCACCUUAGUCAAAGUAAAUCCACUGGUGAGCCAUUCUGUAAGUUGGUGGGGCAGGUUGCUGCUCUCCAGUAGUUCACUACAACUGUAAUACAUGUACCUUAUCAAAAUGACAGAGAAUGUUUCUGCAGAAAGUCUGUCCCUCGUCUGGGGUCCAGAAUGUGAGUUCUCAGGUGAAUUGAGUGCCCUGCUGAGCAGCUGAGCAAGAAGCAGAAGCCGGCCAUGGACGAUUUUUUGUCAAUCAGCCUGCUCUCUCUGGUGAUGAUGAUUGGCUGCUGCAUGGCAGGAAUCAUCCCCUUAGCCAUGAACGUUUCCGAGAUGUUCAGCAGCUCCCAAGACACCAGCCUGUUGAAUCAAAGGGGGAAGCAAGAUGAGCGGAUCCAGCUGCUCCAUUAUAGGGACAGAAACAUGGGCUUACAAAGGGCUUUGCAUACAUGUGAAUAGAACUAGAUAGUGACAUGCAGAUCUGACAAUUCCAGAACUAGUUAGUGACAUGCAGAUCUGACAAUUCCAGCCCUUAAAACAUAUGAAAACAGGGAAAUGUUCAAAAGACUCCAGUUCUCCUAGCAAGUAUCCCGAAUUGAGCCCCCAUUCCACCCCUUUAAACACUGCUGAAAGCCCUACCCCACCUAGUUGAAAUGCCACAGUCAUUUACUCUGCAACAGCCUCUCCCCCACUGAUGCAAAAGUCAAGAGGGGCAUUUGCUCAUUUUGUUAAAUACAUAUUUGUAAAACAUAAUUGUCCUCCAAUAUGUUAUCAACAGUUUAAAACCUCUCAUCUGCUACAAUGUGUGAAAUGGCAUGUUGCACAUUCAGCCAUAUAUAUUUAUACAAUUUUAUAUGUGUGUGUACUAGAGGCAAAAUGAUUGACCCCCAGAGA